GACGAAGGAUGCAGGCGUUAUCCGGAUUCAUUGGGUUUAAAGGGAGCGUAGGUGGCCUUAUAAGUCAGUGGUGAAAUCUCUGGGCUUAACCCAGAAAUUGCCAUUGAUACUGUAGGGCUUGAGUAUAGUUGCCGUUGGCGGAAUAUGACAUGUAGUGGUGAAGUACAUAGAGAUGUCAUAGAACACCGAUUGCGAAGGCAGCUGACGAAACUAUAACUGACACUGAGGCUCGAAAGUGCGGGGAUCAAACAGG
rnacentral:rRNA from 1 species